rnacentral:tRNA from 1 species
GUGGCUGUGGCUCAGUGGUAGAGUGCUCUACUCACAUGUGGAGGGCACUGGGUUCAAUCCUCAGCAUCACA